rnacentral:rRNA from 1 species
UACUCUUGACAUCCACAGAAUUCGCUAGAGAUAGCUUAGUGCCUUCGGGAACUGUGAGACAGGUGCUGCAUGGCUGUCGUCAGCUCGUGUUGUGAAAUGUUGGGUUAAGUCCCGCAACGAGCGCAACCCUUAUCCUUGUUUGCCAGCACGUAAUGGUGGGAACUCCAGGGAGACUGCCGGUGAUAAACCGGAGGAAGGUGGGGACGACGUCAAGUCAUCAUGGCCCUUACGAGUAGGGCUACACACGUGCUACAAUGGCGCAUACAGAGGGCUGCAAGCUAGCGAUAGUGAGCGAAUCCCAAAAAGUGCGUCGUAGUCCGGAUCGGAGUCUGCAACUCGACUCCGUGAAGUCGGAAUCGCUAGUAAUCGUGAAUCAGAAUGUCACGGUGAAUACGUUCCCGGGCC